rnacentral:misc_RNA from 1 species
AAAAAACCAGCAACGAGUUUCUUCUCAAGUGGUAUAAGGGACAAAAGUCAAAAAAACCAGAAAGGAUACUGCUUCCGGCUACACUCAGCAAGGAAACUGUGAGCCAGGCUGGUAAUGGGCUGUCUCAGUCUUCCAAGGGUGAAAACCUAGGGGAUCUAAAAGUUGCUUUGACAGGAUUGUCCAGAGAUUCCAGGGAGAACUGGAAGAGCAAAAUUGAGGAAGCAGGUGGACAGGUGCAUGCCAAGCUGAAGAAAGACACAGAUUGCUUAGUUGUAAUAGGGACGUGGAAUGAUCAAGAUUCUGAGAUAAAGAAGGCCAGGAGACUGAAAGUGUCAGUAGUCAGGGAGGAUUAUUUGGUGGAUAGUAUCAACAGAAAGAAAAAACUUCCUUUUGACUUGUAUAAAUUAGAAGCUAAUAGUGAGACUCAAAGCAUGAAAACUGUCAAAGUAAAAGGGAGGAGUGCGGUUCAUGAGUCAUCCAGAUUGCAAGAUACAGGACACAUUCUUGAGGAAAAGACCAGCAUUUAUAAUACGACUUUAAACAUGUCAGACCUCUCAAGUGGUAUUAAUAGUUACUACAUCCUUCAAAUUAUUGAAGAGGACAAAGGGUCAGACUGUUAUGUUUUUCGCAAAUGGGGUCGUGUUGGAAAUGAGAA